UCUUGAGAAGCAGAGUCAGUACUUGGGGAGAGAGGAGGAGCACAAAAUGCUGCACUGUAGGAAUGAGCAAAGCAUAUAAAAAGGAAAAAUACCUGGGUAGUUCAGUGCCUAUCUCAAGCAGUGACAAAAAGGUGUUUUCUAGAAAUAAAUGUAGGACAUAGGCAAAGAGGGUAUUCCAAGAAGAUGACCUGAUGUCCAAACUGUGCCAGUUGAUGAAAUGGCUCCUCCUAAGUGGAAAGGGGUGUUUUGAAGACAUGGCUACCAUACUGAAGUUGAAUUGUGGUUCCCAAAGAUAAUUAUCUUCUGUAAGGUACAGGGAAAUAACCUUAGCAUAGUCCUCAUAUGUACUCCACCAAAUAUGCACACAGCAUUGUAUCAACUGUUUGGAUUUUCUACAACAUGUGGACAAAAAAAUGAUGAACACCAAAAUGAAUAUGGAAUGAAUUCAAGGGGUUGAACCAAUAAACAAGGCUACUGCAGCAUGCAAUCAAGUUUAUUAUGUACAUGAACAAUAAACCUGGCAAAUGGAG